CUACGGGGUGCAGCAGUGGGGAAUCUUGGACAAUGGGCGCAAGCCUGAUCCAGCCAUGCCGCGUGAGUGAUGAAGGCCUUAGGGUCGUAAAGCUCUUUCGCCAGGGAUGAUAAUGACAGUACCUGGUAAAGAAACCCCGGCUAACUCCGUGCCAGCAGCCGCGGUAAUACGGAGGGGGUUAGCGUUGUUCGGAAUUACUGGGCGUAAAGCGCGCGUAGGCGGACCAGAAAGUUGGGGGUGAAAUCCCGGGGCUCAACCCCGGAACGGCCUCCAAAACUCCUGGUCUUGAGUUCGAGAGAGGUGAGUGGAAUUCCGAGUGUAGAGGUGAAAUUCGUAGAUAUUCGGAGGAACACCAGUGGCGAAGGCGACUCACUGGCUCGAUACUGACGCUGAGGUGCGAAAGUGUGGGGAGCAAACAGGAUUAGAUACCCGCGUAGUC
rnacentral:rRNA from 1 species